AUUGAACGCUGGCGGCAGGCCUAACACAUGCAAGUCGAACGAGUAGCGGACGGGUGAGUAAUGGAUGGGAAACUGCCUGAUGGAGGGGUAUAAGUAGUGGAAACGGUAGCUAAUGCCGCAUACCAUCAGAUGUGCCCAGAUGGGAGUAGCUAGUUGGUGGGGUAACGGCUCACCCAGGCGACGCUCCCUAGCUGGCCUGAGAGGAUGACCAGCCACACUGGAACUGAGACACGGUCCAGACUCCUACGGGAGGCAGCAGUGGGGAAUAUUGCACAAUGGGCGCAAGUCUGAUGCAGCAAUGCCGCGUGUAUGAAGAAGGCUUUCGGGUUGUAAAGUACUUUCAUCGGGGAGGCGUUACCCGCAGAAGAAGCCCCGGCUAACUACGUGCCAGCAGCCGCGGUAAUUC
rnacentral:rRNA from 1 species